GGAGGCGUCGCAUAGCGGUUGAGUGCACCGGUCUUGAAAACCGGAGUCGCCACUUCGGCGACCGAAGGUUCAAAUCCUUCCGCCUCCG
rnacentral:tRNA from 1 species